rnacentral:misc_RNA from 1 species
UCUGGCCUACUUCCUUCUCUGCUGGGUCUACAGCAUCUUCAGGAUGGCCCAGACGAUGAAGGCGCUGCGCAUGGCGAGCUCGGCUCACGGGCUCGUGCGCGGCGCCACGGUGGUGGCCGACUACAUGAAAGACAUCGUCGUCAAAGAGCAGCAGCAUGACCCCAAGGACAUGGACGAGUGCAAGUACCUGGUCGUCGGUGAGGACGACAAGGACAACUCCGAACCGCCGUCCAAGGUCGGGCCGCCCUACCUGACAAAGGUGGGCAGCAAGGUUGUCAAGGUCGGCAUGAUAUGGACACACAAGGGCAAACUGCUCCACUCUGCUGGUAGCGAAUGGGAUAGCGCAAGUGCGCUCAAGCACACAUGCCUCUCCUUCGCGCUGUUCAAGCUGCUGAAGCGGCGCUUCUGCGGCCUGGACAUCGCCGAGGCCGCCGACCAGAAGACGAUGGACUUCGUUGUCGACGGCCUUCUCGCCGUCGACGGAGGAGCGCGCUACGACUACGAGCGAGCCUUUCGUGUGGUGGAGGUCGAGCUGUCCUUUAUGUACGACUUCUUCUACACCAAAUAUCCGGCGCUCUUCCCCACCAACAGGCUGCUGGGCUUCAUCCGUUUCUUCGUCCUCCUUGGCUUCUUCAAGGUGCUCUUGGACUUCAUGGUGUUCGAAUCGCCGUCUGAUGAUGGUGACGAGCCCCCCGAGAACACCUUUAUCUACUUCAACAACGUCCUCCUCAUCGCCAUGCUCCUGAGCAUAGACAUUCUGCAACACCUGACUGCGGG